rnacentral:piRNA from 1 species
UGGAAAAUCAAGUAUUUUUAGGGAUCUGC